UACGGAGGGAGCUAGCGUUGUUCGGAAUUACUGGGCGUAAAGCGCGCGUAGGCGGCUAUUCAAGUCAGAGGUGAAAGCCCGGGGCUCAACCCCGGAACUGCCUUUGAAACUAGGUAGCUAGAAUCUUGGAGAGGUCAGUGGAAUUCCGAGUGUAGAGGUGAAAUUCGUAGAUAUUCGGAAGAACACCAGUGGCGAAGGCGGCUCACUGGCCCGGUACUGACGCUGAGGUGCGAAAGCGUGGGGAGCAAACAGG
rnacentral:rRNA from 1 species